ensembl:lncRNA
GCGGAAGAAGGCAACCGAGUGGAGGAGCAUGAGAGAGAAGAAAGCGAGGGAGGAGUGUUGGAGAAGGAGACGGUGGAAGAGCAAGUGGACUGGGGGGAAAGUGCCCUGGUGGAAGAGAUGAGGGGUAUGGUGGAGGAGCUGGCGGGGGGAGGGUGGUAUCUCUCCACUGCCGCCAUCACCAAAGAAGAGAAUGAAGAGGAGGGUGCGAUUGGCCGACAGUGAGAGGGAGGGGAUGGCCAAGAGAGUGAUGGGGGUGGGAGAAACCUCUGGGUUGCUGCUGGUUUCCCCAGGCCCUCAACUUCUGUUGGGUGGGGACACACCUAACAAGACUCAGGACUGGGUACAGGAGGAGGUGGGGAGUUUUAUGUUUGGGGACUCAGCCUCCCCGAUUUUUUUCCAAACCAGCUGCAGCACUGGGGAGGGGGAGGAGUGUGGGAGUAGACCCAGGGUGCAGGGCACCCCGGAGCCAAACACUAUUCCUGCAUCCUGGGUUGGUGAGAUGGAGGAAGAGGGGGGGAUGUCGGGAGUACGGAUGGUGUUCUCACCGGUAGAUAUGGAGCAGGGGAGCAUCGGGUGAGUCUCCUGUUUUUUUUUUUUUUUUCUGUCUGGGUUUAGAAUUUGAGUGUAUUACAUGUUUUAAUUUUAUUUUUUCAUGGGGUCUAAUUUUACUUUUGUUAGUUUAAAUGUAAGGGGUUUAAGGGAUUUUGUUAAGAGGAGGGCGGUUUUUAGUUAUUUGGAGGGUGUGGGGUUUGAUUUUUGUUUUUUACAGGAGGUUCACCUGAGGGAUGGAGGGGAUUGGGACAAGGGGGAGUCGGUUUGGGGUAUUGGGGGGGUGCACUCAUCGGGGGUAGGGAUUUUGUGUGGGCACAGGGAGGUAAAAGUGGAGGAUUCUUUUGUGGUAAUGCAGGGGAGGGUUAUAGGGGUGGAUGUCACAAUAAGGGAUUGUAAAUUUAGGUUAGUGGUGGUGUAUGGGCCACAGGUGGUGGCAGACAGGAGGGAGAUGGUGGACUGUCUGACGCCCCUGUGUGUCACAAAUAGGAAAUUAGUGAUAGGGGG